rnacentral:rRNA from 1 species
UACGUAGGUGGCAAGCGUUGUCCGGAAUCACUGGGCGUAAAGCGCGCGCAGGCGGCGAUCUACGUCUGGGGUGAAAGCCCGGAGCUCAACUCCGGGACUGCCUUGGAUACGGGAUCGCUUGAGGAUUGGAGAGGCAAGGGGAAUUCCACGUGUAGCGGUGAAAUGCGUAGAGAUGUGGAGGAACACCUGUGGCGAAGGUGCCUUGCUGGCCAAUUACUGACGCUGAGGCGCGAAAGCGUGGGGAGCAAACAGG